CCCUUAGAUGUUCUGGGCCGCACGCGUGCUACACUGAGUGGAUCAGCGGGUCAGGUUGCGCGAAAGUGUUUCCUAAUCUUGAAAUCCGCUCGUGAUGGGGAUUGACGGUUGCAAUUUUCUGUCAUGAACGAGGAAUACCUUGUAAGCGCGGGUCAUCAUCCCGCGCUGAAUACGUCCCUGCCCUUUGUACACACCGCCCGUCGCUCCUACCGAUUGAGUGGUCCGGUGAGGCUUUGGGAUCUGAGCGGAAAGAGCGUUUCGCUGUUUCUGCUCGGAAAACUCAGUCGAACCUUAUCAUUUAGAGGAAGGAGAAGUCGUAACA
rnacentral:rRNA from 1 species